UCAAGCGUAAUCAACGCCUUGUCAGAAAUAGAACGACCAGGCACAAACGCAGAUUGAGUGGGGGAAAUAAUGCGAGGAAGCACGUUCUUCAAUCGGUUUGCUAAAACUUUAGCAACAAUCUUAUAUAAAACAUUACAUAAAGAGUUAGGACACAAAUCCCUCAUAGAGGUAGGAGAAUCCUUUUUUGAAAUAAGAACAAUAAUUGUAUCAUUUAAACUCGCAGGAAACGAACCUUGAGAAAGCAAAUGCUGACAACUGCAAACAACCUCAUCACCAAUUAAGUGCCAAAAUUUCUGGAAGAAAGCAGGAUUCAACCCGAAACUCACCAGGAGUGAAAGGAGAUAAUAAGUAGGCAUUGUCAGGAUCAGAGACACGACAAUCAACACAAUCAAGUAUCACCAUAUUGGGAUUAGUAGCUGCAGAAAACAGGUCAUUAAAAUAAGAAGCAAUAAGAGAAGCCAAACAGUCAGGAUCCUCGUGCCAAUGCCCAUCAUCAGAUAGAAGAGAAUGGAUUCUAUUCGCCCUUUUGCGUGAAGAAGCAAAACUAUGAAAAGAUCGCGUAUUCCGAUCACCACUCUUUAAUCAGUGAAGCUUGGAACGCUGCUUCCGAUAAAGUUCUUCCUGAGAAAGUAAAGUAUUCUAUCUAUGUUUCAGAUCGGGCAUAUGAUUCUCAGUGACAGAGAAAGGCAUUUGACAACACUGAUGCAUUUGAUGAAGCAAAGCCUGGAUACGAUGUUUAAACCUGCCU
rnacentral:misc_RNA from 1 species